AUAAGAUAUCAAGGGCAACAGGUGAAUGCCUUGGCGCUGAGAGGCGAUGAAAGACGCGGUAAGCUGCGAUAAGCAUCGGGGAGGAGCUAAACAUCCUACGAUCCGAUGAUUUCUGAAUGGGGAAACCCGAUGGGAGUCAUGUCCCAUCAUCCUGAGCUGAAUAUAUAGGCCCAGAGAAGCCAACCCGGGGAAGUGAAACAUCUCAGUACCCGGAGGAAGAGAAAUCAAACGAGACUCCCAAAGUAGCGGCGAGCGAAAUGGGAAGAGCCCAAACCGGGUGGUUUCGACCAUUCGGGGUUGUAGGGCCGGCAUACGCGAUUCUGGAGUAGGCAGAGGAAGUGAGCUGGAAAGCUCCGCCACAGCGGGUGAUAGCCCCGUACUCGAAACCGAAAAGGACGCAGCCGGUACCUGAGUACUGCGAGGCACGUGGAACCUCGUGGGAAUCUAGGGGGACCAUCCUCUAAGGCUAAGUACUCCUCAGCGACCGAUAGUGAACUAGUACCGUGAGGGAAAGGUGAAAAGAACCCCUGUUAGGGGAGUGAAAUAGAAUCUGAAACCUGUUGCCUACAAGCUGCGAGAGCUACUUCGGUAGUGAUCGCGUGCCUUUUGUAUAAUGAGUCAGCGAGUUACUCUACCGUGCGAGGUUAAGCGAAAGCGUAGCCGUAGUGAAAGCGAGGCUUAAUAGGCCGACUAGUACGUUGGAGUAGACCCGAAACCGGGUGAUCUAUCCAUGAGCAGGUUGAAGCAAGGGUAAAGCCUUGUGGAGGACCGAACCGUCAACGGCUGAAAACGUUCCGGAUGACUUGUGGAUAGGGGUGAAAGGUCAAUCAAACCCGGUGAUAGCUGGUUCUCCCCGAAAUAUAUUGAGGUAUAGCCUCGGGAAUUGAUUAGCGGAGGUAAAGCACUGACAGAGCUAGGGGUCCUACCAGAUUACCAAACUCUAUCAAACUCAGAAUGCCGCUUAAUCGUAUCCCGGGAGUCAGACGGCGGGUGCGAAGGUUCGUCGUCAAAAGGGAAACAGCCCAGACCAACAGCUAAGGUCUCCAAAUCCAUGCUCAGUGGUGAAGGUAGUGGAACCGUUUAGACAGCCAGGACGUUGGCUUAGAAGCAGCCAUCGUUUAAAGAAAGCGUAAUAGCUCACUGGUCUAAUGGCUCUGCGCCGAAAAUGUAACGGGGCUAAGCAUGGUACCGAAGCUUUGGCAAUCUCCUUUGGAGAUUGGGUAGGGGAGCGUUCGCUGCGGGCUGAAGGUGUAUCGGAAGGUAUGCUGGACUGCAGUGAAGUGAUUAUGCUGACAUGAGUAACGAUAAAAUAUGUGAAAAACAUAUUCGCCGAAAACCCGAGGUUUCCUGGGUAAAGGUAAUCUUCCCAGGGUUAGUCGGAUCCUAAGGUGAGGGUGAAAGCCGUAACCGAUGGAAAACAGGUUAAUAUUCCUGUACUUGUUGUGUAGCGCGAUGGAGGGACGCAGGAAGAUAGGCGGGCCGGGUGUUGGAUAUCCCGGUGCAAGCGUGUAGGAAUAUCCGGUAGGCAAAUCCGCCGGACGAAUCUGAGACGCGAGUCCGUGGGCGCAAGCCCUGAAGCCGUUGAGUCUAUGCUGCCUAGAAAAGCUCCUAAGUUUAUCCACAGCAAUCCGUACCGCAAACCAACUCAGGUGGGUGGGAUGAACAAUCCAAGGCGCUCGAGAGAACUCUGGCCAAGGAACUCGGCAAAAUAACCCCGUAACUUCGGAAGAAGGGGUGCUCUCUAGGGUGACAUGUUUAACAUAUGAAGCCCCGGGGAGCCGCAGUGAAUUGGUGGUGGCGACUGUUUACUAAAAACAUAGGUCUGUGCGAAGUCCUAAAGACGACGUAUACGGACUGACGCCUGCCCGGUGCUGGAAGGUUAAAAGGAGGGGUCAGCGCAAGCAAAGCUCCGAAUUGAAGCCCCAGUAAACGGCGGCCGUAACUAUAACGGUCCUAAGGUAGCGAAAUUCCUUGUCGGGUAAGUUCCG
rnacentral:rRNA from 1 species